GGCCAUGACACUCACGCCGUCCACUCUACCGGGGCCCUCACACGUCUCCUGACGUGUGGCCCGCUGCUCCUGGGCCACCCUAGGGGCCACCGGGGCCCUCACCCGCCUCCUGACGUGUGGCCCUCACUAUGGGGCCCCUGCUGCUGCGGCCUGGCCUCGUGGGGCCCCCUUGUGGUCCUUGUGUGGUCCUUGUGUGGUGGUGGUCAAGCUGGCUGAAUGGUUCCAACAUUUUAAAUGAUUGAAGGUUGGUGAAGACAAUGUUUCAAGAGUUUUCAAAGUUUACCACUUUGAAAGUCAACACAGGCAGUUGAACUGAAAUUGGACUUUGACAAGCGUUGUCUGCUGCCUCAGUUCUGGGAACUAAACAAUCUGCCUCUACAUUCAGAUAAAAGAACUGCCAAAGAAUUUGUAUGUGAAUGCUGUUAGCCUCUUGGGUGGGGCAUGAUGGUGGGUGGCACCUGUAGUUCAUAAUGAAUGUACAUGGACUGGGCUGUAAUGGUGUGGACCACAGGUUUUGGUACAAAGCUGGAUGAUGUCAAGAUUGGGGAAAACUCGUGGAAGUGCACUGGAUUACUUGUUUAGAAAGACAUUAAAUGAGAUCGGAGAUGGCAACUCUUUUUAAGUUUUGGAAGUUUACCGCUUUAGUAAACACAGCAGUUGCAAUGAAAUUGGACUUUGACAAGUGUUUAGUCUGCUGCCUCAGUCCUGGUGAACUGAACACUCUGCCUCUACAUUCACAUAAAAGAACUGCCAAAGAAUUCAUAUGUUAGCCUCUUGGGUGGGGCAUGAUGGUGGCACCUGUAGUUCAUAAUGAAGGCGAGU